UCUUAUUAAAAAAUCUACCUCCAUAACUCACACAUAUUCAUUUUUGUAACUCCUACUCUUAAUAAUAUUUAUAACUCUUAUGUCUUUUCAAAUUCACAACCCCAAAUUGUUUAAUAUGAUAAAUUUAUGACACCUGAUUGUCUCAUAAUCACGAAUUUUCAUGUCGUCUGCUAGUAGGAAUUUCAAAAGCCUCCUUUGCUAAUUAAUGGUGCAGUAACUCCUUAAUAAUCUAACUUAUUAAACACAAGAGUUCAAGCCUCUAUUGCUGAAAACACAUGGGUCAUGAGUGGUUUUUCAUUACAAAGAAAUUGCAGGAUAUCCUUCUCUCAAAUAAUUCACUAGUUGAAUCUUUAUAAUAUUGGAGAGUUUGAAGAAGUUGGCUGAACAGUUCCAGAAGCAAAUAGCCGGAACUGGGUGCGCUUGAGGAGGCUUAAACUUCCUGAAGUUUUUAUUGAAGUUUGUGUCAUCCAGUCCCUUACAGUUUCAGAUGUUGUUAAUAGUCAGGUACUUUAAUUUUCCCUUAAAAACGCUUAUAUGACAUGUUUAUAAUACAAAAAACCACCAAAAGAAUAAGAUGCAAUGGUACCAAAUGAAGAAAACCAGAAUGAAAGACACCAAGGAGUUGGACAUGACUCUUGCAAGAUGAUGUCAUUUACCAGAAUUUCAGGUGGGAUUGACCUCUGUUUUCUCGUGCUUGAUAGUCGUUCCGAGGGUUGCUGUUUAGAGUCUACAGGGUGAGCACGAAGAUGUCCGCCGCCUUGGAUAUUCUUCCUUUAGCUAUGUCUUAUUUCCUAUUCCGAGACAUAUUAAGACUUUUGAUGUAAUUUGUUACUUUCAGACUUGUAGUAUCUAGUUAGUUGCUCUUGUAUGGUUAGACCAGACUCUAGGUGGAUUUGAUGUAUUUCCUUACUUUCGCACAUUUCUAUAUGAUUAUCGUCAGACUUACAUGA